CUGACACUUCCCUGCCAGAGUGUUUGCCAGUAAUGAUCCUGACUUUCUGAAAACCAGUAAUCCUGGAGAUAAGAUCUCAGUCUGAAAUCUGCCUGCCUGAACUCCGUUCAGUCUCUGCUUCUGCCCUCAGCCCUCUGCCUGCCGACUAGCCUCUGGACCCUCAAGGUUCCCCCCCUACUGAUCAGAUCCAUCUCUGAGCAGUGGUGUGCCUCCCGUGACCAGUCAGAAGAACCCAGAUCCUGUGC